rnacentral:rRNA from 1 species
UACGUAGGCAGAAAGCGUUGUUCGGAAUUACUGGGCGUAAAGAGUGUGUAGGCGGUGCUCCAAGUCUGGUGUGAAAUCUCACGGCUUAACUGGGAGGGUGCAUUAGAAACUGGAAUGCUAGAGGAUGGGAGAGGUAAGCGGAAUUCCUGGUGUAGCGGUGAAAUGCGUAGAUAUCAGGAGGAACACCUGUGGUGUAGACAGCUUACUGGACCAUUUCUGACGCUGAGACACGAAAGCGUGGGUAGCAAACAGG